UUUUCUAGAUUUAGAGUUGUAGUGGUUGUUCCCGGUGGUGUUGUGGACAGUAGUAGAGAAGGAAGAAAGUUGGUGGUGUUGAGGAAGAAGGCAGCGAAACUUCUCAAGUUAGUGUAUUGUUUGAAGUAAACACGUAAAUCGCUGUUGGAGAUGCGAUUAUUCGUGAUGCAGUUGGAACGCCGGUUACAGGAGGCCGAAAGUCGACUUUCGGCUCACCCCAACCACACUUCGAACUGCGAUUUAGGGGUGCCGCACUUCUAAGUGUGGUUUCACUAGUACAUUAAUUUUAUCUCAUUUUUUUGUUUGUUUAUUGUGAUAUUAUGCUUGCUUAUGAUACGUAUUAUGAAUCAUGUCUCAACCGUAAUUCAAAAUGCGCAUGAUCUCUACCGGUGUUCAAAUUGCGCAGAGUCUCUACCGACGUUCAAAUUGUGCAGGGUCUUAAUCGUGCUUCAGAGUGCGAUUAAGGCCUCGAGUCUUACCGAACACAGCUGCCCUUGCCCGCGAGAGAAGAGAUCACUCAGAUGGUGAGAGAGAUACAGAGAGAUGCAACGAGAAAGGGAAGAAGGAGAGAGCAAGAGAUGGAGUACAUAAUCUAUGGAGCAAGAGAUGGAAUUAAGAGAGCUUCUGCACCUUACUGGAAUUGAAGGAAGAGGAGAACAUUUUGUUGGAGGAAAGGUCUGCAAUGGUCAGAAGGAUAGUGUGGGAAAUUUGGAGGUGCAGGAAGAAUUCGUGGAGGUGCAGGAAGCUUCGC
rnacentral:sRNA from 1 species